UGUGAACUCGAAGAGUAGGGCGGGACACGUGGUAUCCUGUCUGAAUAUGGGGGGACCAUCCUCCAAGGCUAAAUACUCCUGACUGACCGAUAGUGAACCAGUACCGUGAGGGAAAGGCGAAAAGAACCCCGGCGAGGGGAGUGAAAAAGAACCUGAAACCGUGUACGUACAAGCAGUGGGAGCACCUUCGGGUGUGACUGCGUACCUUUUGUAUAAUGGGUCAGCGACUUAUAUUCUGUAGCAAGGUUAACCGUAUAGGGGAGCCGCAGGGAAACCGAGUCUUAACUGGGCGUUAAGUUGCAGGGUAUAGACCCGAAACCCGGUGAUCUAGCCAUGGGCAGGUUGAAGGUUGGGUAACACUAACUGGAGGACCGAACCGACUAAUGUUGAAAAAUUAGCGGAUGACUUGUGGCUGGGGGUGAAAGGCCAAUCAAACCGGGAGAUAGCUGGUUCUCCCCGAAAGCUAUUUAGGUAGCGCCUCGUGAACUCAUCUUCGGGGGUAGAGCACUGUUUCGGCUAGGGGGUCAUCCCGACUUACCAACCCGAUGCAAACUACGAAUACCGAAGAAUGUUAUCACGGGAGACACACGGCGGGUGCUAACGUCCGUCGUGAAGAGGGAAACAACCCAGACCGCCAGCUAAGGUCCCAAAGUCAUGGUUAAGUGGGAAACGAUGUGGGAAGGCACAGACAGCCAGGAUGUUGGCUUAGAAGCAGCCAUCAUUUAAAGAAAGCGUAAUAGCUCACUGGUCGAGUCGGCCUGCGCGGAAGAUGUAACGGGGCUAAACCAUGCACCGAAGCUGCGGCAGCGACACUAUGUGUUGUUGGGUAGGGGAGCGUUCUGUAAGCCUGCGAAGGUGGCCUGUGAGGGUUGCUGGAGGUAUCAGAAGUGCGAAUGCUGACAUAAGUAACGAUAAAGCGGGUGAAAAGCCCGCUCG
rnacentral:rRNA from 1 species